GGAAAUUCUGCGCGUGGAAGUCCCAUAUGUGAAAAUUCCACAUAUGCAAAUUCGACGCGUGGAAUCGCUACACAUGGAAAUUCUACGCGUGGAAUAUUCAAUGCGUGGAAAUCCUACAUACGGAAAUUCUACGCGUGGAAACCCUACACGUGGAAAUUCUGCGCGUGGAAGUCCCAUAUGUGAAAAUUCCACAUAUGCAAAUUCUUAGAUAUGGAGAUCUCGAUAUGGACUGCUCGCUAAUAAAGAUUGAAACACUUGGAAGUAGGGGUGCAAGGUUAAAAAUCAUCACAAGAUAACUCUGUAUCUAAAGAAGAUAUUUUCUAACUUCUGGUAAACUCCAGGAGUCAAAGACCUGUUCAAAUAAAUCAGACUACUAAUAAAAUUCAAUUCA